AGUGAACGCUGGCGGCAGGCCUAACACAUACAAGUCGAACGGCAGCACAGAGGAGCUUGCUCCUUGGGUGGCGAGUGGCGGACGGGUGAGGAAUACAUCGGAAUCUGCCUUAUCGUGGGGGAUAACGUAGGGAAACUUACGCUAAUACCGCAUACGACCUACGGGUGAAAGCGGAGGACCUUCGGCUUCGCGCGAUAAGAUGAGCCGAUGUCGGAUUAGCUAGUUGGCGGGGAAAGGCCCACCAAGGCGACGAUCCGUAGCUGGUCUGAGAGGAUGAUCAGCCACACUGGAACUGAGACACGGUCCAGACUCCUACGGGAGGCAGCAGUGGGGAAGUAAUUGGACAAUGGGCGCAAGCCUGAUCCAGCCAUGCCGCGUGUGUG
rnacentral:rRNA from 1 species